UUAUUUUUCCCCUCACUCACAUAAAAUAUCAGGCAAGCACUUGUCAUGAAUCCAAGCCAUUCUAUACUAUUAUAGUUGCGAUAGUUUGUUUGAAGAAGCAGGGCAAAAAGCAAGAGAAAGUGCAGAGUAUGACUCCCUCCCCUUUUUAGCCGUGCAACUUAUGGUAUUCACCGGUUUUCUAUAAUGAUCCCUCCGCAGGUUCACCUACGGAGA
rnacentral:misc_RNA from 1 species